CUUAAAUUGAAGAGUUUGAUCAUGGCUCAGAUUGAACGCUGGCGGCAGGCCUAACACAUGCAAGUCGAGCGGCAGCGGGAAGUAGUUUACUACUUUGCCGGCGAGCGGCGGACGGGUGAGUAAUGUCUGGGGAUCUGCCUGAUGGAGGGGGAUAACUACUGGAAACGGUAGCUAAUACCGCAUGACCUCGCAAGAGCAAAGUGGGGGACCUUAGGGCCUCACGCCAUCGGAUGAACCCAGAUGGGAUUAGCUAGUAGGUGGGGUAAUGGCUCACCUAGGCGACGAUCCCUAGCUGGUCUGAGAGGAUGACCAGCCACACUGGAACUGAGACACGGUCCAGACUCCUACGGGAGGCAGCAGUGGGGAAUAUUGCACAAUGGGCGCAAGCCUGAUGCAGCCAUGCCGCGUGUGUGAAGAAGGCCUUCGGGUUGUAAAGCACUUUCAG
rnacentral:rRNA from 1 species